rnacentral:rRNA from 1 species
UACAGGGGGCUCGAGCGUUAGUCGGAAUCACUGGGCUUAAAGGGCGCGUAGGCGGCUUGCCAAGUCAGGGGUGAAAUCUUUCGGCUUAACCGGAAAAGUGCUUCUGAUACUGGCAGGCUGGAGGGAGGUAGGGGCAGAUGGAACUUCCGGUGGAGCGGUGAAAUGCGUAGAUAUCGGAAGGAACGCCGGUGGCGAAAGCGAUCUGCUGGACCUCUUCUGACGCUGAGGCGCGAAAGCCAGGGGAGCAAACGGG